rnacentral:rRNA from 1 species
AGAAGAUGUCAAGGGCGCACGGCGGAUGCCUUGGCACAGGAAGCCGAUGAAGGACGCGGCAAGCCGCGAUAGUCUGCGGGGAGGGGCAAACACCCUUCGAUCCGCAGGUUUCCGAAUGGGGGAACCCAGCAGGGGUCAUGCCCUGCUACCCCGAGCUGAAUCAAAUAGGCUCGGAGGAGGCAACCCGGGGAACUGAAACAUCUAAGUACCCGGAGGAACAGAAAUCAACCGAGAUUGCGCGAGUAGCGGCGAGCGAAAGCGCACCAGCCCAAACCCAUGCACGUGCAAGCUUGAGGGCGUUGCUGCAUGCGGUGUUGUGGGACCGGCCAUUCCCAGGGCCUCAGACCUGGGACGGAGUUACAAAGCUGCGCGGUAGCGGAACGGCAUGGAAAGGCCGGCCGCAGCGGGUAAGAGCCCCGUACGCGAAACCCCGCAGCCUCCGAGGCCGGCACCCGAGUAGUGCCGGACACGUGAAAUCCGGUACGAAUCCGGGGGGACCACCCUCCAAGGCUGAAUACUCUCCUGUGACCGAUAGCGAACCAGUACCGUGAGGGAAAGGUGAAAAGCACCCCGAGAGGGGAGUGAAACAGUACCUGAAACCGUGCGCCUACAAGCAGUCGGAGCACUCUUGCAGUGUGACGGCGUGCCUUUUGUAGAAUGAGCCAGCGAGUUGCGGUAAGCGGCGAGGUUAAGGUUGGAACCGAGCCGCAGUGAAAGCGAGCCUUUAAGAUGGCGAAUGAGUCGCUUGCCGCAGACGCGAAGCCGGGUGAGCUAUCCAUGGGCAGGCUGAAGCGGGGGUAAGACCCCGUGGAGGGCCGAACCCACUUCGGUUGAAAACGGAGGGGAUGACCCGUGGAUAGGGGUGAAAGGCCAAUCAAACCCGGAGAUAUCUCGUUCUCCCCGAAAUAGCUUUAGGGCUAGCCUCGAUCGUUCAGUGCCGGAGGUAGAGCACUGGAUCUUCUAGGGGGCUUCACCGCCUACCGAAAAGAACCAAACUCCGAAUACCGGCACUUAAGAGAUCGGGAGUCAGAGCAUGUGGGCUAAGCUGUGUGCUCGAGAGGGAAACAGCCCAGACCGCCCGCUAAGGUCCCCAAGUUCAUGCUGAGUGGCAAAGGAUGUGCGUUUGCCUAGACAACCAGGAUGUUGGCUUAGAAGCAGCCAUGCAUUUAAAGAGUGCGUAACAGCUCACUGGUCAAGUGGACAUGCGCCGACAAUUCACGGGGCUAAGCAUGACACCGAAGCGGCGGACUGAUUUAUCAGUGGUAGGGGAGCUUCCCAUGGGGGGCGAAGCCGAGGGGCGACCCUCGGUGGACCGCAUGGGAGUGAGAAUGCUGGCAUGAGUAACGAGAGAGGGGCGAGAAACCCCUCCGCCGUAAGCCUAAGGGUUCCUGGGCAAGGCUAAUCCUCCCAGGGUCAGUCGGGAGCUAAGGCGAGGCCGGAAGGCGUAGCCGAUGCACAACGGGUCGAUAUUCCCGUACCGCUGACGAGCGUUUGACCGACGGGGUGACGGAGAAGGGUAGCCGGGCGGGGUUCUGGACGUCCCCGUGAAAGCGCGUAGGGGGGCUCGCAUGGAAAUCAGCGAGCCACAUGCCCCGAGACGCGAGACGAAGGCAUUAGCUGAAGUCGGCGAGCCCAUGCUUCCGAGAAAAACCUCUAGGGAGCUUUGUCGGCGCCCGUACCAAAACCGACACAGGUAGGCGGGUAGAACAUACCGAGGCGAUCGGGAGAACCAUGGUUAAGGAACUCGGCAUACUGGCUCCGUAACUUCGGGAGAAGGAGCGCCCUUUCCGGUGAAGGCCCUCGCGGCCGGAGCGGGGAGGGGCCGCAGCGAAACGGCCCAAGCGACUGUUUAUCAAAAACACAGGACUCUGCUAAGCCGCAAGGCGACGUAUAGGGUCUGACGCCUGCCCGGUGCUGGAAGGUUACGCGGAUGGGUUAGCGCAAGCGAAGCUCUGAAGCCAAGCCCCAGUAAACGGCGGCCGUAACUAUAACGGUCCUAAGGUAGCGAAAUUCCUUGUCGGGUAAGUUCCGACCUGCACGAAUGGCGUAACGAUUUGGGCGCUGUCUCAACCAUGGACCCGGUGAAAUUGUAU